rnacentral:rRNA from 1 species
AGAGUUUGAUCAUGGCUCAGAACGUACGCUGGCGGCACGCCUAACACAUGCAAGUCGAACGCAGUAGCAAUACUGAGUGGCAAACGGGUGAGUAUAAUGUGGGAAUCUGCCUUUUGGUUUGGAAUAACACGGGGAAACUUGUGCUAAUACCGAAUAAGCCCUUACGGGGAAAGUUUUAAUGCCGAAAGAUGAGCCCGCACUUGAUUAGCUAGUUGGUAAGGUAAAAGCUUACCAAGGCAACGAUCAAUAGCUGUUCUUAGAGGAAGACCAGCCACAUUGGGACUGAGACACGGCCCAGACUCCUACGGGAGGCAGCAGUGGGGAAUCUUGCACAAUGGGGGAAACCCUGAUGCAGCGAUGCCGCGUGAGUGAAGAAGGCCCUUGGGUUGUAAAACUCUUUCGUCGGGGAAGAAAAUGACUGUACCCGAAUAAGAAGGUCCGGCUAACUUCGUGCCAGCAGCCGCGGUAAUACGAAGGGACCUAGCGUAGUUCGGAAUUACUGGGCUUAAAGAGCUCGUAGGUGGUUAAAAAAGUUGAUGGUGAAAUCCCAAGGCUUAACCUUGGAACUGCCAUCAAAACUUUUUAGCUAGAGUGUGAUAGAGGUAAGUGGAAUUUCUAGUGUAGAGGUGAAAUUCGUAGAUAUUAGAAAGAACACCAAAUGCGAAGGCAACUUACUGGAUCACUACUGACACUGAGGAGCGAAAGCAUGGGUAGCGAAGAGGAUUAGAUACCCUCGUAGUCCAUGCCGUAAACGAUGUGUGCUAGACGUUGGAAAUAUAUUUUUCAGUGUCGCAGCGAAAGCAUUAAGCACACCGCCU